GACGAACGCUGGCGGCGUGCUUAACACAUGCAAGUCGAACGGAAAGGCCCUGCUUUUGUGGGGUGCUCGAGUGGCGAACGGGUGAGUAACACGUGAGUAACCUGCCCUUGACUUUGGGAUAACUUCAGGAAACUGGGGCUAAUACCGGAUAGGAGCUCCUGCUGCAUGGUGGGGGUUGGAAAGUUUCGGCGGUUGGGGAUGGACUCGCGGCUUAUCAGCUUGUUGGUGGGGUAGUGGCUUACCAAGGCUUUGACGGGUAGCCGGCCUGAGAGGGUGACCGGCGACAUUGGGACUGAGAUACGGCCCAGACUCCUACGGGAGGCAGCAGUGGGGAAUAUGGCACAAUGGGCCGAAGCCUGAGGCAGCAACGCCGCGUGCGGGAUGACGGCCUUCGGGUUGUAAACCGCUUUCGCCGGUGACGAAGCGUGAGUGACGGUAAUGGGUAAAGAAGCACCGGCUAACUACGUG
rnacentral:rRNA from 1 species